rnacentral:rRNA from 1 species
AUUGAACGCUGGCGGCAGGCUUAACACAUGCAAGUCGAGCGAGGAAAGGUAGCUUGCUACUUGACCUAGCGGCGGACGGGUGAGUAAUGCUUAGGAAUCUGCCUAUUAGUGGGGGACAACAUCUCGAAAGGGAUGCUAAUACCGCAUACGUUCUACGGGAGAAAGCAGGGGACCUUCGGGCCUUGCGCUAAUAGAUGAGCCUAAGUCGGAUUAGCUAGUUGGUGGGGUAAAGGCCUACCAAGGCGACGAUCUGUAGCGGGUCUGAGAGGAUGAUCCGCCACACUGGGACUGAGACACGGCCCAGACUCCUACGGGAGGCAGCAGUGGGGAAUAUUGGACAAUGGGGGGAACCCUGAUCCAGCCAUGCCGCGUGUGUGAAGAAGGCCUUUUGGUUGUAAAGCACUUUAAGCGAGGAGGAGGCUACCGAGAUUAAUACUCUUGGAUAGUGGACGUUACUCGCAGAAUAAGCACCGGCUAACUCUGUGCCAGCAGCCGCAGUAAUAC